GAUGAAGAACGCAGCGAAAUGCGAUAAGUAGUGUGAAUUGCAGAAUUUAGUGAAUCAUCGAAUCUUUGAACGCACAUUGUGCCCUUUGGUAUUCCUUAGGGCAUGCCUGUUCGAGCGUCAUCUACACCCUCAAGCACAGCUUGGUGAUGGGCGCCUGUCCCGCCCCCCACGGGGGCGCGGACUCGCCUCAAAUGCAUUGGCGGCCGGCGACCUGGCUUCGAGCGCAGCAGAAACGCGUACUCGGGGACCGGGCGCCCGCUCCCAGAAGCCAACCCACCCAGUUUGACCUCGGAUCAGGUAGGGAUACCCGCUGAACUUAAGCAUAUCAAUAAGCGGAGGA
rnacentral:misc_RNA from 1 species